GACGAACGCUGGCGGCGUGCCUAAUACAUGCAAGUUGAGCGCUGAAGGUUGGUACUUGUACCAACUGGAUGAGCAGCGAACGGGUGAGUAACGCGUGGGGAAUCUGCCUUUGAGCGGGGGACAACAUUUGGAAACGAAUGCUAAUACCGCAUAAAAACUUUAAACACAAGUUUUAAGUUUGAAAGAUGCAAUUGCAUCACUCAAAGAUGAUCCCGCGUUGUAUUAGCUAGUUGGUGAGGUAGAGGCUCACCAAGGCGAUGAUACAUAGCCGACCUGAGAGGGUGCUCGGCCACAUUGGGACUGAGACACGGCCCAAACUCCUACGGGAGGCAGCAGUAGGGGAUCUUCGGCAAUGGACGAAAGUCUGACCGAGCAACGCCGCGUGAGUGAAGAAGGUUUUCGGAUCGUAAAACUCUGUUGGUAGAGAAGAACGUUGGUGAGAGUGGAAAGCUCAUCAAGUGACGGUAACUACCCAGAAAGGGACGGCUAACUACGUG
rnacentral:rRNA from 1 species